AGGAGGAAAAACCACGGUGGCGGGGCCAGCUCUGGAGCCCUGGAGUCAGCCCCCGCAGGAACUCCAGAGCUCUCCGUCUGCAGGGCCUGGAGGCUCCGGGCGGGG
rfam:Canis lupus familiaris chromosome 11, whole genome shotgun sequence.